CACGUAGGAGCCAAGCGUUAUCCGAAUUCACUGGGCGUAAAGCGCGUGCAGGCGGCUUGGAAAGUUGGAUGUGAAAGCUCCCGGCUCAACUGGGAGAGGACGUUCAAAACUACCGAGCUAGAGGACGGCAGAGGGAGGUGGAAUUCCCGGUGUAGUGGUGAAAUGCGUAGAUAUCGGGAGGAACACCAGAGGCGAAGGCGGCCUUCUGGGCCGCACCUGACGCUCAGACGCGAAAGCUAGGGGAGCGAAC
rnacentral:rRNA from 1 species